UGGCACUUCUGGGGUCCACUGAGGCGGAAAGCACUGGGCACGAGGCAGAGCCACCCACAGCUGUUUCAGCGGGGCGGCGCUAGGGAAGGAGAGUUUGUUUCCACAAGGAGCCUAAAGCAUGUACAUCCAGGAAUCACUUCACCCAACACUGAAAGGAAGUCACCUCUGGGAUGGAAUGCUGUUUAACAGCACACUGCAACACCACACAACAGUCCACAGCAUGAAGCAAAGAACAGAA